UUUCUCUAAAACCCAUCGUCAACUUGAAGAUGCAGAUUGUAGAGGCUUCCUAGUCGGCGACCAAGUCACCCACCUCUUUUACUGAUGAGGUGUACGAAUCUAUUCUUCAAGUCUGCAUCUUCUUCCUCAAUAACUUCACUCUUCCACCUAAAAAGCCCUAGUUGUCUGUAUCUAAUCGAGAUACAUCGCCUGGCUCCCUUUUCCAUUUCAUCGGCACAGUAACCCUAGCCCACCAUUCUAUUUUCCUCUCUCUCCUCUGGCCCGAUCUGGGCAGCAAAGGACUUCAUAAACUGAUCACCGCCCCCGACGCCACCCCUAUCUCAUCAAAAUCGGUAAUUUCGUUGAAGACUUGGCCUCUCUCCCAACACUUGAUGUGGCAGCAGAGAAAUCACCAUGAAUCUAUUUGGCCACGUGAUUUCUUGACGUGAUUUGAAAUGUAUUUCCAUGUUAUGAUUUUAAACCAGUUAAAACUUUUAUUGUAGAUGUGACGAAAAUCAUAUGUGAGCUUGAGUAGCAGGAACAUAUAUGAUGUUCAAUAAGGAAAUUAUUGUGUUUCAGAACCAGUUGAUCAAGAAUUGUUCUGAGGAUGUGAUGUUGAGGUUGAUCCUUCACAAUCUGAAGCUAGCAUAACAUUCAAUAAUUUACGGAGCCCAACGCAUACAUUACUUCAAAUACGAUCUAUACAUUAGAAAGGUCUCGUGUAUGACAAUUUCAACAUCUCCAAGGACUGCAAUAUUUGUAUUGUGCAUGGGAGAAUAUGUUGUAGCGAUAAAGGGCACAAGAGUUUGGACAAUAUUGACAGGUUCACGAGGAUGACCAAGAUUCUAUCAGAACGAGGAAGCCUUUAGAAUGAGGAAGACCAAUAUUCAUUUAGAAUUAUGAAGGGCGAUGUUCUUCACAUGUAGACCUGCCAAUUGAUCAGACCUAAAUAACCAAAAAGAGAAGGGAAGCUUAACUUUUAUUUUUUAAGAAAACAUGUGAAGAAGAUCAAUUGCAUUUGUUCAAGAAUUGUAUAUUUAAGCAUGCUCUGUUUUUUAAGAAUUUAUUUCAUUUUUA